AAUAUUAAAUAUCAAAUAUGUUUAAGAACUAAGUUUAAUUGAAAUUUUUUAUUGAAUUAUUAAAUAAACCAUGUCAUAGAGAUUAAAUAGGAUGUACUAAAUUUCUUUAACAAAAAUAUGAUAUGAAACUUCAUUUCAUUUUAUAAAAGACAAAGUCCGAGAAAGCCUAACAAAGCCACAAACCUAGAUGCAUUAGGUAAAGAAAGCAAUAGAGGACCCAACACUAGAUAUCUUGAAAGAUUAGUAAACCUAAAUUUUAUGGCGAGAAAAAGAGCGUCCAUUGCUUGAAUCAAACCUUUUGCCUAAAUAGAAACAAAGAAGAGCACCCAACACAAUUUCUAUGCCUUCUCAACCAACACACGUUUUGCCAUCAAUUAUGAUAUGGUGUGUCUCUAUACAAUUCAUUGCUUCCAUGAUAGUGGAAAUAUCUCCAACUUAAAUCAUCAUAUGCAAUGGAAUCCCUGACAAAAUUAAGUUCUUGUAGAAACUCAAUAGACGAAAAGUCACUAGGGCUUAGAGAAUGCGAACCAUCAUUGGACUCGAGCACUAAAGCACGACUCGACCCUUAGGCCCCCUGGAAUUUCUUAUUUCGAUGGCUUGUCCUCAUCCUACUGGAAAAAUUGUCUGGAGUUUGACAUUGAGACACAGUCAGGGACAGUGUAGGGGAUGGUGGCUGACUAUUCAACGGCCAAAAAGUCGACCACCAUGACUACAACUAAAACCUUAAACAGUCACUCGGGAUCUCCAACCAGAGAUCCGCGCUGUGGGAGGCAAAGAGUCAUUUGUGUGCUUAAAACGAGAGAGAUCAAACAACUACUGAUGGAAGAUAGCGCGACAGAUUUAAAGAAAAAACCUCCAUUCAGAACAAAUGGAUUGUAGAUUUUGCAUCCCUAAUCAAACAUAAAAAAUCAUAAAAGAAGUCAAUCAUACAAACAACCAUAAAGCAAAACAUAUAAUUAUUUGGAUGCAGAGAUAAGGAUAUGAACUACCAGUAAUUUAAUUAUAUGGUGCAGGGAUAAGGUUAUGGUACAAAUUAAUAUCAUUCAUGUGAGUAGUUAAAACCCAACAAAAACAAAUAAGUCCCACCAACAAAAUGAAAUUGAAAAGAACUUGCUUGAAUUUAUAUGAAAUUCUGUCUCUCUUUUUUCAAAAUUCAAUAACAAAAUUCAUUUCAAUUUUUUGAAAAUUCUUAUUAACUUUUCUAAUUUCUUCUCAAAGUUUUAAUUAAACCCUCCAUAUUUUAAAAAAAAUUCAUUAAAUCUCUAUUUUCUUUUUAGAAUUUAUUAAUUAAACCCUAAUUUUUUAAUAAAAUUUCACUAACUCCUAAUUUUAAAAAAUAUAUUAAAUUCUUUACUUUUUUUUAAAGAUUUUAAUUAAGCCCCAAAUUUUAAACGUUGAUUUCAUCACCGUUGAAUUACUAAUUAAUGAUAUGUUUUGUACGUGGCAUUUUAGCUAAGGGAUAUGAAUUGUGUAGCUUAUAUAGUAGCACUUGAAGCGGUAAAAGUACAAUGAAGAUAUUUAUAUUAGGAGUCAGAUUAUAUUUUCUUUUUUUACUCAAAAAAUAAAUAAAUUAGUCCUUAUACAUUAGGUUAAAAAGUAAAUUAGACUUUUCUAUUAAAAAUCUCAUCAAUUUGUACUGUUAAAAAAUGGUGUGACUGACGAAAUAACCAUAUAUUGACAUGUGGCAUAUCACGUGUACCUCAUGCGGACGUACAAAGACCGAUUUUUAACAAUAGAAAUUGAUAGAAUUACUAUCAGACGGACCAAUUUGCUCUUUUAUCUAAUGUAUAAAAACUAACUUACCCAUUUUUAAAUAAAACGAACAAAAUACGAUCUAACUUUUAAUACCAGAGCUUCCAUAUUUCUUCUAUCCACUUAAACCUGCUUAACAAAUCAUUCCAUGUAUAGAAUCCUGAGAACUAAUAUUUUAUGCCAUAGUUGAAUUAAAGGCCACAAAAUUCAAAACGUAUCCUCAAAUCCCUCAAAUUAAACAAUAAUCUCAUCAAUAGUUUCACACUAAUCACCAAAAACAGGAAAAGACAGCUCUCCAACAAUGGAAUCACAAAAUAUAAAUCUUUCUUUCACAUACAUACAUCAUAUAUGCAAGCAUGAAAUAGAUAUGGCAACAAUAAGCAAGAGUGCGUGUGUGAUUUGAGAGAUAACAAAGAAAGCUACAAUUUUGUCCACAUAUUCUGACAUUAUAGUAUCAUCCUUAUUUUGUAGUUUUGGAUGCUACUCAACAAGGUGUAAUUUUUGGGAUUAGGACAAUUAUUUUAUGUUUUUUUUUUGUAAGUGUAAGAAAUUUUAAUGCUAUAACUUAAACUUAAAAAACAUUUUUGAAAAAAAUUGAAACUCAUCGUUACUUUUUUUUUAAAAGCAACCUAAAUACAAACUAAUUACAAAGUGAGCUUUUGAGCAAGGCUAACACACUAGCCUUAUUAAUAGAGGAGACUGCUAAUUCCUCUUUUUGGAUUUCUUCAAAAACUGUUAGGUUUUGACUUGUGUAAAAAGUUAAUUUAGCUGUGCUGUAAUUUUAUUUAACUUAUUGGGAAUGUGUUCCAUGACCCGAUGCCUAACUUUUGCUAAAAUUUAAUGAAUUCUUCUAAUAAGGGUAGAGUUUGAAUCAGUCGAUGAAAAUUCCUAAAUAACCUCAAUCAUUUUCAGACUAUCUACUUGAAUCAAGACACCCUCAAAAUGUUUAUUUUGAAUAAGAGACAACCCAUUUAGAAUGCCCCACAAUUCAGCAUCAAAGACAGAACAUUCACCCAAAAAUCUAUUAUAUCCCAAAAUCCAAUCCCCAUUACCAUACCUCAGUGCUCCUUCAGUAGCAGCUGUACUGGACACAGCUUGAACCGCACCAUCAAUGCAUAAAUUGAUCCAAUUCUCCGGCAUAUGAAAGAUUGGCUUCGGCGUCUGCUGUCUAGAUAAAUCCUACUUAUGAAAAGAGGCAUAUUGUUUUGCCCAUGUAUAAAAAUUCUUCACAAUGUCACCUGCAUUCCAAGAGACCCAUUGGAAGAUAAAAAGGUUCCGAUUUUUCUAUAUUCUCCAAGCUAACAAACCAAAUAGGCUUGGCCGAACAACAUCGCCCGUAGCUAGAUUAGGACUAAGUAAAUUAAACCU
rnacentral:lncRNA from 1 species